CCUACGGGAGACAGCAGGGGGGAAUAUUGGACAAUGGGGGGAACCCUGAUCCAGCGACGCCGCGUGAGUGAAGAAGGAUUUCGGUAUGUAAAGCUCUAUCAGCAGGGAAGAAAAUGACGGUACCUGACUAAGAAGCCCCGGCUAACUACGUGCCAGCAGCCGCGGUAAGACGUAGGGGGCAAGCGGUAUCCGGAUUUACUGGGUGGAAAGGGAGCGGAGACGGUGCAGCAAGUCUGAUGUGAAAGGUCGGGGCCCAACCCCGGGACUGUAUUGGAAACUGUUGAACUGGAGUACAGGAGAGGUAAGCGGAAUUCCUAGUGUAGCGGUGAAAUGCGUAGAUAUUAGGAGGAACACCAGUGGCGAAGGCGGCUUACUGGACUGUAACUGACGUUGAGGCUCGAAAGCGUGGGGAGCAAACAGGAUUAGAUACUCUUGUAGUC
rnacentral:rRNA from 1 species